rnacentral:tRNA from 1 species
CGGUGUAGCUCAAUUGGCAGAGCAGCUGAUUUGUAAUCAGCAGGUUGUGGGUUCAAGUCCAAUCACCG